UGUGCGAGUGUGCCCAUAGCUCCUGCACACGGUCUCGGAAGCAGUGGGGCGCUGUGGGGAGCGCCAAACCCUAAGUUGAACCCCCCAGGGCAACGCAUCUGCAGUAGCAACAACCCACAGGGAAGGGGAAGCAGCUCCCCCAGGUACGCAGGCUUGGUUGAGCGUCUCUUCGCGGCCGGAAUGAGGUUGUUGCAGCCUGAGUGAAGCACAGUGUGUAUCAAUGUCAGACAAGAAUGACGACAUCUUAUUAGUUGCCAUGAUUACUGGUGAAGUAUUAAUUUAGGAUUAACUCGGAAGAACUUGAAUUAACUAAGCAGCCUGUGGGGACAGCGUGUAAAAGAGUCACAGGAAGAAAGGAAAAGACUGGAUUCAUUAGCAGACUGCAGGGAAAUGUAUUAAGAAGCAAGACUGUAGCCAUAGAUUGGAAAGCACACACUUAUGGAUGGAGAUGAAAUGUUUGUGGUAAAUCUGACUUUAAGUUAUUAAGCUUAAUGAUCUCUCCAAAUCUUCAAUGAGAUCAUCUAAAGAAAGGGGUUUGAAGGUUGGGAUUAAAGAAAGCCCUGUUAUAAAGAUGACUCAGUGCUGUGUUUUGAACAGACCGAAAUCUGGAAUGACCCUAGCACAAUACACUGAAGCAAUUAAGAAGGGGGAACAGUAGUAGGAAACCAGCUGUGUGUUUGACUAGCCAGCCACAGAGUUAAGGUUUUGUUGCAAAGAGGCCAUACUAUACAGAGCUGCUGUAUGUAUUACUUGUUACUGUUGAGUCUUUUAAUUAAAAUGAUUACUGAGUCACUUGGGACUCACAGACGCAGAGAAAGCCUUGGUAUUCACUGCUUCUAUCACAAGUCGUGAAGACAUUGCUGUCAUAUACUGCACAGAUCAUUUUGCACAGAAGAGCCAGGCAAGCUGAAGAGAGGUGUCUGUGAGAGAGAGGAAUGCAAAGAGAAACACUCAUCACUUCUGAGGUGCUGUCUGUGCUUUUGUUUUAUCCUCUCAUGGUGUAUCUGAUGUCCAUUCCAGCUCUGGCUCUUAUAGCUACUCACACAACUUCAAGAUACAGAAUAAUAGAGGAAAGGCUUUGGCCUUUUCUUAUCUACCUUUUGGACUGACUGGGCACGUACUGUACGCUGUUUAUGAUGGAAAGAAUAAUCAGGAACCUUACAGUUGUCAGCUCUGGCAAAUAUGUCUUGAGUUUUACUAUGUGCACAUGAAAUUCCAGCCCACAGAGGUUUCCAGCUGAGGCUAAUGCUGUCCGGUUGGAUAACUGCUUCCAGAACCAGCCCAUCAAGGAUGAGCGGUCCAUCAGUUCUGUCAAAGGAGAAAUCAAGAAGGGUUUGGCCUGAAGGGGUAGAUGAAAUGUCACUGGGAUCUGAGGUGAAGAUGGCAGGAAAGGAGGUAUUUGACAUAUGCUUGUUUGAGCAAUGAAUGAUUCAUCUGUUGGAUUCUGAGCUUAGAAUACUAGAAGCGUAGAAUCAGCUACACUGGAAAAGACCUUUAAAAUCAUGAAGGCCAACUCUUACCCCAGGACUGCCAAGUCCACCAGUGAACUAUGUCACUGAGGGCAUUUACAUGGUUUUUGAACACUUCCGAGGGCAGUGAUUCCACCACUUCCCUGGGCAGCCUGUUCCAAUGCCUGAUCACUCAGUGAAGAAUUUUUUCCUAAUAUCCAGGCUAAGCCUCCCCUGACACAGCUUGUGGAUGUGGAUUGAGCUUGACUGGCUCUUGGAUUCUGAGCUUUGAAGAAUAUAGCUAUAUUCAAACAACAUAAGAAAAGUCUGAAGUGGACUCAGAGUUUAUUCAGAGCUCAUUCACCUGCUCUGCCAUCGUGGAUGCUCAGUCAUGCAUAUGUUACUCCUUCAUUCAGUCUGUUCAUCAAGAUCUCUGGUGGUGGACUCUGUUCCAAAGCCUCCUCAAGCAGGGUCUUUCUCUGAUUUAAAGUAUAUACUUCUGGAAAGUUGUUUUGAUCCAUAAGCAGGAUCCUUCCUUCUGCAUCAAAAGCCAGUACACUUGGUCCUAUCCACCAUGAGCACCAGGAUCAGACUGUCCCCUUAACACAGACUGCUUUUGAUUUUUAAAAUUCCAUCUUGAUCUCCUUCCUAGGUUAAACAGCAUUGAAAGGCCUGCUAAAAUCAAAUACACAACAAAUGCUGUCUGCCUCUCCAAGGGGCCUGUUACUCUGCUGUAAAAGGAAAUUACAUUGGUUUGGCAUCAGUUUUGUUCCUGAAAAAUCAGUGGUGUUCCUUAUCUUCUUCUUCUUGCCUUUGAAGUCUUACAAAUCAGUUGCUUGAUUUUUAUUUUUUUUCCUGAUUUUUUUGGGGGGAUCUUCCUUCUCUCCCUUUUUCCAGCAAUGAAUUUUGAUUAUCGCUUUAAUUUCAGAUUAAAGACGUUAGCUUCUUUUGAUAACUAUGAAAAAGUAAAAAUAAAUUAAGUGGAAAACCCCUGGGUGGAUUAGCUAGUUGCUCUAAUAAAGUAGUGUCCUCAAAUCUCUGUCUUUGGUACUUGCAUUCUCAUUGCUUUAAAGGAAUUCUGAAGUUCUGCCAUAUGUAUGUCUACCGUCUAAGUAGGUUGUGUGUUUUGUGUAUCAAGAUGCCUCAGAUAGUUGGCUGCACUGAACACAUUAUUUCCAUGUUAGAGCUUUUAAUUCAGCUCUGGUUUAAAAAAAAAAGAUGUUUGAGGUAUUUAUUUUUUGCAUGCAUGGGUUCAUUGUUUGGAAGCAGCAUGAUGUUCUAUAAAUAUAAGUGGGAUGAGUUAACACACACUGAUGAGGAAUUGAAGACUUUUGCUUUUUUUUGUUGUUUGGUUGGUUGGGUUUUUUCCUUGUAUUUGUUUAAUAAAAGCUAGGGUCCAUUUUGGAAACAAAGUUAUCAAACCUCUG